AUGCUGCUGUUGAGAUUUGCUAAGACAUUAUAUGCACUAUCAGUGCCUGUCAUGGAGGGGCUUGGGACACAGAAGAUGGCCAGUGUACAGUUCUUAAUGCUGCCUGUUCCAGCUGCUGCAAGUUCUUAGGCUCCAGGGAAAUGGUCACCACGAGGCCAUCUCAGACACCCACUGUCUUACUGUCCUGCUCCUGUGGGUCAUGGCUCUCUGGCUUCCAUUAUCCAAAGAAAUACUACAUUUUGAAAAAGGGACACGGAGAGAUGUAUGUGAGAACUGGUGGUACGAUUGUCCAAAGGUGACACUCUCGAUGACCUGCUGGAGAGAGACUCUGCCAUUGUAUUGUGGAAUGUCAAGUCACACUGGCAAGAGAAACACCAGUUCACUGAACUUCUUCUGUCUAGAAGGAGGCUCUGUUUUUGUUUCUCCGGAUUCAUAUGUGGUUUCUUAUUCACUUUGUGGGAAGCUGCUUUGGAACAUUUUUGUUUCCUGAAUCUUCCUGCAAUCUUGACCCACAGUGGUUCUGGGGGUACACAGACAGCACAGGCCUCUGAUGAGUGAAUAAAGGAUUUGAAGCUCAACUCACCCACGACCCUAUUUGGAGACAUGUAAGAUGAUCGCCCUCCUGAGAGCAUCUGUCACUCCAGAACGGGAUGAGUAAGUAAGAAUUUUCAUUUCCAUGACGUGCCCAACCCUCUUUACUUCGAAGGUUCAUGGCUUCCCAUUCAGUACCAACAUUGAGACCAUCUCCGUGGCUUUUGUCUCAGUAUGGGACCUUAUGAGGGUGUGUGGGAAUGCAAGGCAAGAGACUGUGAGUCACCGAGGCCAGAGUUUGGGGGAAAAUGGCAGUAUUCAGGAAUCCUUUCAUGUGCCCACCUUGGAAAUAGAUCCUCAUAUUUCAUUGAGGUUGCAGGGAAUAAGGCAAAAGUGCAGGCCAUGUGUAAGAGAUCUUGAAUUAUGCAUUAAGCUGAUAAUACCCCAGCAUGCAAGCUAUGUCAGUAAAUAACUUGGCUGGCAGGAGGAAGGUAUUUACCUCCCAAGAGCAGGGGGUACCACACAGGGAGAGAGCUAGAGGAAGAGCAAGGGAAGGGUGAAGGGGCUCAUAGCCUUCUGGCUUUCUCUGAUGAAGAAGAGCUAGGAGUAAGUUAAUAUUGAAAGUAUUGUCUAGUGGCUAUUUGCUUUUAAAAUAAGUUCACUGCUUUCUGCAGUGGGGUCCCUGUCUCUGCAAGUUUGAGCUUGUGGUAGAGUUAUCCCUUCCUUGUACGAAGCCUUAUGUAAAGGAAUUCCAUCUAGGAGGGAGAUUCUUUUGAUAGGACCCAUCAAAGACUUCUUUAAAAAGUUAAGAGUUUUCAAGAUGAAAUUUUGGAACGUUCUUAUGAAUGUUAAUAGGGCACUCAAGUUUUCGAUUCAUUUUGAAUCUUUAAGUGAUUAAUAUGUAGCAGAAAAGCAGAAGGUAGGCCAGUUGAAGAAGCAGAAGGAUUAAAAGAAGGUUUAAGAAUGACAUCCCCAGAACAAGAUAGAGCUGGGGAGAACUGGUUCUUUAAUCUUUCCCUUGCUUUA